rnacentral:rRNA from 1 species
AUUGAACGCUGGCGGCAUGCCUUACACAUGCAAGUCGAACGGCAGCACGGGGCAACCUGGUGGCGAGUGGCGAACGGGUGAGUAAUGCAUCGGAACGUACCCGGAAGUGGGGGAUAACGUAGCGAAAGUUACGCUAAUACCGCAUAUUCUGUGCGCAGGAAAGGGGGGGAUCUUCGGACCUCUUGCUUUCGGAGCGGCCGAUGUCAGAUUAGCUAGUUGGUGAGGUAAAGGCUCACCAAGGCGACGAUCUGUAGCGGGUCUGAGAGGAUGAUCCGCCACACUGGAACUGAGACACGGUCCAGACUCCUACGGGAGGCAGCAGUGGGGAAUUUUGGACAAUGGGCGCAAGCCUGAUCCAGCCAUGCCGCGUGAGUGAAGAAGGCCUUCGGGUUGUAAAGCUCUUUCGGCCGGGAAGAAAUCGCAUGGAUUAAUACUCUGUGCGGAUGACGGUACCGGCAUAAGAAGCACCGGCUAACUACGUGCCAGCCGCCACCGUAAAAC